ACGAACGCUGGCGGCGCGCUAACACAUGCAAGUCGAACGAGCGAGAGAGAGUUUACUUUUUCGAGCGAGUGGCGAACGGGUGAGUAACGCGUGAGGAACCUGCCUCAAAGAGGGGGACAACAGUUGGAAACGACUGCUAAUACCGCAUAAGCCCACGGCUCGGCAUCGAGCAGAGGGAAAAGGAGCAAUCCGCUUUGAGAUGGCCUCGCGUCCGAUUAGCUAGUUGGUGAGGUAACGGCCCACCAAGGCGACGAUCGGUAGCCGGACUGAGAGGUUGAACGGCCACAUUGGGACUGAGACACGGCCCAGACUCCUACGGGAGGCAGCAGUGGGGAAUAUUGCACAAUGGGGGAAACCCUGAUGCAGCGACGCCGCGUGGAGGAAGAAGGUCUUCGGAUUGUAAACUCCUGUUGUUGAGGAAGAUAAUGACGGUACUCAACAAGGAAGUGACGGCUAACUACGUGCCAGCAGCCGCGGUAAAACGUAGGUCACAAGCGUUGUCCGGAAUUACUGGGUGUAAAGGGAGCGCAGGCGGGAAGACAAGUUGGAAGUGAAAUCCAUGGGCUCAACCCAUGAACUGCUUUCAAAACUGUUUUUCUUGAGUAGUGCAGAGGUAGGCGGAAUUCCCGGUGUAGCGGUGGAAUGCGUAGAUAUCGGGAGGAACACCAGUGGCGAAGGCGGCCUACUGGGCACCAACUGACGCUGAGGCUGAAAGUGUGGGUAG
rnacentral:rRNA from 1 species